GUGCUCGCUUCGGCAGCACAUAUACGAAAAUUGGAAUGAUGCAGAGAAGAUUAGCAUGGCCCCUGCACAAGGAUGUGACACAAAUUCGUGAAGUAUUCCAUAUUUUG